rnacentral:lncRNA from 1 species
GUGCUUUUUACAUGUAUUUUGUAGUUCACAUUUACAAUACAUUUCAAUAAGAUAUAAAUACUUAGAAUACGAAUGGUCAAGUUUACGGUUAAGUCCUUACCUGGUUAGUAAGAUAUAUUGUUUUAGAUAAAAUGUAGAAUAUAAUAAAGUCAACUAUUUAACUAGCGUUCAAAUCCCAAAAGUGCACUCCCCAAAACCCUAGAGCUUACGUAUUUCUAUCCCCAAAAUGACGUCAUAGGCCCGGCCGGGCUACCGGGACACCGGAAGUGGCCCGGCGGGGGAAAACAAAAUGGCCGGAUCUACAAGAGUUAUUAAUAAAACGGAGAUAGAAUAAAAGAAAAGAAAGUUAACCAAACCCCUGAAAUAUUUAAGGACUAACAGUAAAGUGACUACCGUCACACUCCCUCCCUCUUAAGAC